rnacentral:rRNA from 1 species
AUUGAACGCUGGCGGCAGGCCUAACACAUGCCAGUCGAGCGGAUGAAGGGAGCUUGCUCCUGGAUUCAGCGGCGGACGGGUGAGUAAUGCCUAGGAAUCUGCCUGGUAGUGGGGGAUAACGUCCGGAAACGGGCGCUAAUACCGCAUACGUCCUGAGGGAGAAAGUGGGGGAUCUUCGGACCUCACGCUAUCAGAUGAGCCUAGGUCGGAUUAGCUAGUUGGUGGGGUAAAGGCCUACCAAGGCGACGAUCCGUAACUGAUCUGAGAGGAUGAUCAGUCACACUGGAACUGAGACACGGUCCAGACUCCUACGGGAGGCAGCAGUGGGGAAUAUUGGACAAUGGGCGAAAGCCUGAUCCAGCCAUGCCGCGUGUGUGAAGAAGGUCUUCGGAUUGUAAAGCACUUUAAGUUGGGAGGAAGGGCAGUAAGUUAAUACCUUGCUGUUUUGACGUUACCAACAGAAUAAGCACCGGCUAACUUCGUG